UUUUUUUUUUUUUUUUUUUUUUUUUUUUUUUAGAGAUAAGGUCUUGCUAUAUAUAUGGCCCAGGCUGGUCUUGACCCAGCAUCAAGUCGUCCUCCUGCCUUGCGCUCCCAAAGCACUGGGAUUACAGGUGUGAGCCACCAUGCCCAGCCAGAUCUUUCUUGUUUUUGAUGUAGGUGUUUAUUACUAAAUACUUCCCUCUUAAAACUGCUCUUGCUGCAUCCCAUACAUUUUUAUAUGUUGUGUUUCUGUUUUCACUCAUUUUAAGACAUUUAAAUUUUGUUUCUUAAUUUCUUCAUUACCCAUUGGUCAUUCAGAAUCAUGUUAUUUAAUUUCCAUUUAUUUGUGCUGCUUUAAAAGUUCCUCUUGUUAUUGAUUUCUAGGUUUAUUUCAUUGUGGUCAGAAAGGUACUUGAUGUGAUUUUAAUUCUUUUAAUUUUUGUGAUUUGUUUUGUGGUUUAACAUGUGGCCUCUCCUUGAAAAUAUUGCAUGUGCUUAUGAAAAAAAAUAUGUAUUCUGUAGCUGUUGGAUGAAAAGAUCUGUUAGUGUCUUUUAAGUCCAUUUGGUCUAAAGUCAGUUUAAACUUGGUGUUUCUUUGUUGAUUUUCUAUGUAUAUGAUCUGUCCAUUGCUGAAAGUAGGGUGUUGAAGUCCACAAGUAUUAUUGUAUUAUUGUAUUGUCUUCCCCUUUAGAUCUAAUAAUAUUUGCCUUACAUAUCUGGGUGCUCUGAUAUUGGGUGCAUAUAUAUUUACAAUUUUUGUAUCCUCUUCCUGAUUUCAUCCCUACUGUGUUUGAUACAAAGUCUCUUAUCGUAAGUAUAGCUACUCCUUAUAUAGUCAUGAUUGUGGUAAAAAAAAAAAAAAAAGAAAAGAAAAAAGAAAAAAAA
rnacentral:lncRNA from 1 species